rnacentral:piRNA from 1 species
UUCACCUCAUGGGUGGGUGGAUUGCCUA